UGGAAGAAUGACAGUUUAACUAUCAAAUGCAUCAUACUGGCCUCUAUGACAAAUGAAUUAUAGAGACAGCAUGAGAGCAUGGAUACUCAAUCCAUACUCCUCGAUCUUAAAGAGUUAUAUGGAGAACAGAGUAGGACUGUUAGGUAUGAGAUAUCUAAACAGUUAUUCCGUACUAGAAUGACUGAGGGAUCAUUUGUACAAGAUCAUAUCCUGAAGGUCAUUGACUUGAUCACC
rnacentral:lncRNA from 1 species